GUGGGGAAUAUUGGACAAUGGGCGAAAGCCUGAUCCAGCCAUGCCGCGUGUGUGAAGAAGGUCUUCGGAUUGUAAAGCACUUUAAGUUGGGAGGAAGGGCAGUAAGUUAAUACCUUGCUGUUUUGACGUUACCGACAGAAUAAGCACCGGCUAACUUCGUGCCAGCAGCCGCGGUAAUACGAAGGGUGCAAGCGUUAAUCGGAAUUACUGGGCGUAAAGCUCGCGUAGGGGGUUUUGUAAGUUGGAGGUGAAAUCCCCGGGCUCAACCUGGGAACUGCCUUCAAAACUGCAUGACUAGAGUACGGUAGAGGGUAGUGGAAUGUCCUGUGUAGCGGUGAAAUGCGUAGAUAUAGGAAGGAACACCAGUGGCGAAGGCGACUACCUGGACUGAUACUGACACUGAGGUGCGAAAGCGUGGGGAGCAAACAGGAUUAGAAACCCCGGUAGUCC
rnacentral:rRNA from 1 species